rnacentral:lncRNA from 1 species
CCGGGCGGAGCCAAAGGGAGCCGGGCGGAGCCAAAGGGAGCCGGGGAGAGCCGGGCGGAGCCGGGCGGAGGCAAAGGGAGCCGGGGAGGGCCGGGCGGAGCCAAAGGGAACCGGGGAGGGCCGGGCGGAGCCGGGCGGAGCCAAAGGGAGCCGGGGAGGGCCGGGGGGAGCCAAAGGGAGCCGGGGGGAGCCAAAGGGAGCCAGGGGGAGCCAAAGGGAGCCGGGGAGGGCCGGGCGGAGCCGGGCGCGCUCCCUGCGCCCGCCCCCCAGCGCCCCUCCGCCGGGCUCUUCCCUGAACCAUCUUCUUCUUAGCUUACUGCUGAAUAGAGUGUGUUACUCAAGCGGUCAAAAUGAUUCAAUUUAAACAAUCAUUCUUUUUCAGUGUUGUCGGUCUUUCUGAGAGACUUCUUUGGAGAUGAAUGUUUAAUACACUGGAAUGAGUGAAAUAAAACAGCUCAGAGGCAUAACUGAUUUCAGGGAGUUAUGCAGGAAACCAUCCUUUAGGGGUAUUUGGGAUCACGAUGUUGGUGUGACUGGUGUGAUACUGAAGUUAGGAUGUAGAGAAGAAGAGGGGUCAAAAAGUCUCCACUUGCACUUCCAGCUCACUCCGGAGCAGAUCAGCACGGAUCUGAGAAGUGAUUUCAUGUAUCGUCUGGAGCAGGACCAGGAAUUGCAGAGGAUCCAAGAAGAAAGAGAGGCUUUACCUCAGAAGAAUUUUGAAAGUGAAAUUCUGGACGCAAUCCAAUCCAUCACAAUUCUGUUGUUGUCAUCCGUGGUGCCACUGGUUGUGGCAAAACCACUCAAGUGCCCCAGUACAUCCCGGAUCUCUCCUCCCUCAUUCCAGCCACCCUGCAAUCAUUGUUUUCAUGAGGAGCAAUCACGGCAUGGGACCCCUCAUGUUUCAGCCACAGGGAUCAUCAGCAUCAGGUUCAGCACAGAACACAACAAAGUGCACCUUUCAAUUUGACAUCAGGUGACUUGCUCUGGUGAGACCCCACCUGCAGAGCUGCCUGCAGUUGUGUGGCCCCAACAUCAGGACACGGAGCUGCUGAAUCGCCCCAAACUGGGCCAAGAGACACUUCCGAGCCAAAGUGUAAAACGUGGGCAUUUGCUUUACUCAGCGCGCCGGGAUCACUCCUCCUAACGGCGCGUACCCAGGCACAUGGCACAUUACAAUAUAUGGUUAUACUAUGCAUAUUCAUUGUUUUCCUUGGAAAAGGUGUGGUUUUGCAAACUAUCUCUUAGAAUUACUGUCAUUAGCACACACGCGGCGCAGGCGCAGUGCACCCUGCUGCCUGCACUGAGGAAGGCUCCGCAUCCUCCUCGGUGCUCCUGUGGUGAAGGCUGGACGUCUUCCUCGCCCUGCCCUUUUCACCUGUCUCCUCUAGGCAUGGGCAGCCUCUUGUUAGCUGCUUCAGCGAUUUCCUCACUGGUUUUAGCAAGCUUUGUCCUUCACUUUAUGCAAGUUUUGACCCCUGUUUCUUGCCAAAUUUCAUUCUGUGU